rnacentral:rRNA from 1 species
UGGGCAACCUGCCCCUCUCUCUGGGAUAACCCCCGGGAAACCGGAGCUAAUACCGGAUACGAGACCGAGUGGCAUCACACGGUCUGGAAAGUUUUUCGGUUAGGGAUGGGGUCGCGGCCUAUCAGCUUGUUGGUGGGGUAAUGGCCUACCAAGGCGACGACGGGUAGCCGGCCUGAGAGGGCGACCGGCCACACUGGGACUGAGACACGGCCCGGACUCCUACGAGAGGCA